ACAACAUUCGGACCAUCAAUCUACCCAACAUUAUCACCCGCUCGGUGGAAGAUCUUCCCUUUAUCGU
rnacentral:pre_miRNA from 1 species